AGUCUUUGUAGUAAUACAAGGCAUACGGCUCAGUAACGCGUAGUCAACCUACCCUAUGGACAAGAAUAAUCUCGGGAAACUGAGCAUAAUUCUUGAUAGAUCAUAAUGCCUGGAAUGGUUUAUGGUUAAAAUGAUUCGUCGCCAUAGGAUGGGACUGCGGCCUAUCAGCUUGUUGGUGAGGUAAUGGCCCACCAAGGCGAUUACAGGUACGGGCUCUGAGAGGAGAAGCCCGGAGAUGGGUACUGAGACAAGGACCCAGGCCCUAUGGGGCGCAGCAGGCGAGAAAACUUUGCAAUGUGCGAAAGCACGACAAGGUUAGUCCGAGUGAUUUCUGCUAAAGAGAUCUUUUGCUAGUUAUAAAACCACUAGUGAAUAAGGGGUGGGCAAGUUCUGGUGUCAGCCGCCGCGGUAAAACCAGCACCUCAAGUGGUCAGGAUGAUUAUUGGGCCUAAAGCAUCCGUAGCCGGCUCUGUAAGUUUUCGGUUAAAUCCAUACGCUCAACGUAUGGGCUGCCGAAAAUACUGCAGAGAUAGGGAGUGGGAGAGGUAGACGGUACUCGGUAGGAAGGGGUAAAAUCCUUUGAUCUAUCGAUGACCACCUGUGGCGAAGGCGGUCUACCAGAACACGUUCGACGGUGAGG
rnacentral:rRNA from 1 species